rnacentral:lncRNA from 1 species
UGUGUCCGUUGAAUUCGAUGAGUACCUCCCCUCAACGAAUGAUUAUGUUUUCCAUGCCCAUCUUUUGAAUUACUGAGUGCUGAAGUAGGUUGACUGCACUUUUGUUAUCAACCAUCAUCCUGUCGAUUAUAACAUGGGCUAGUUGGACACAUACCACCAGUGUGUCGUCGUGCGGGAAGUCGACACCUUUGGCAUCCUGCUUGAUGAAGCCAACAAUGGGUCUAGGUUGGGUGUUGACUGCCUGGACCUACGAGACCAGUAGAGCUUGUUGGAUCUUCAUCUUCUUAUAAUUAUUAGUGGCUCUCAGGUUGGGUGUUGACAUUAAUCCGAAUCGUCUUGUUGGGCGGCUCUUCGUCGGCAUCUGUAUUCCUUCUAGGCCGUGCAGCUGGCAUGUCCAACUAUAUGUCGACCUUAUCUUCCUUUACAAGUUUUUGUAGGUAAUUUUUCCAAGUAUAACAGUCGUCGGUUGUGUAACCAGGACCGUGGUCGAAUGCACAAUACUUGGUGUGGUCUAUCUUGGAAGUAUCUCCCUUCGAUUGUUUCGGCAGCUUGAACCAUGGUUCGCUUUUGAUGCCACGAAGGAUUUGGUGGAUCGGGAUCGAGAACUUUGAGUAGUUCUUAGACGUCGAGCCUCCUUUUGUUGGGGAUCAGUCCCUACACUUGGCCCCCUGCUUGCUUUUGUUGUUGUACUAUUUUUUGUCCUCCUUCUUUUGAGCUAAUAUGGACUUUUUUUGAGGCUGCUCUGGUGCCUUGUCUGCUCGUCGAGCCUCAUCCCAAAGUGCAUACUUUUCUGCCAUAGCAAAAGAGUCUGUCAUAGUUAGUUCUUUCAUAAUCAAUUCUCCAAACAACGGGUGAUCUGCUAUGAGUCAUUUUUCGAAAACUGCACUUACUAUCGAGUCAUCGCAUCUUACUAUCUUCACAUUCUCUUAUUUGAACCUCUUCACAUAGUCGUGAAACGACUUCUUUAGAUUCUUCUUCACAUUGAACAAAUGGUCGGACUUCUUCUUGAUCGAGUGGUAAGAUGAGUAUUCUUUGGUGAAAACUAAGGAAAGCUCAUCAAAACUUCUUAUGGAUCAUGGCAGUAGGGUGUGGAAUCAAUCUUGCACCUCGUCUUACAAAGUUGUUUCGAUAAAUGACCAUCGUGCUUCGGUAAUGCUUUAAGUGUCUCUCCAGAUCUUCAUCUCAUUUGAAAGACAUGGAGGCUCUGCCUACUCGAUCUCAUCCGUGAAGGGUGACCUGCUCAUUUGGUCAUGUCCCGUCGUAGUGCUUCAUUGGUGACCUCGUUGAGUUGGAAAUCAUGCAAUCACACGGUCAAGAGCCUCGUUACUUCUUCAUGAAUUUGCCUUUAUUGGAGGUACCAGAGCUCUUGGCUGCUCUAGGUCUUGACCUGCUGGUCUAGGCUGCUCUUUUAUGUGCUCGGCUCGUCUAUGCCACGAUUGCGGUGCAUGUGACACAUCCUUAGCAGGUGAGUGGAUUCCUCGCGGGCUGCUGGUUAAAUUUGAGCUGGAAUAAGUGAUUACUUUUCUCCAUCUGUGGUGCUGCCUACUUUGAUGUGAGGUGAAUGAUGCUUCUUACAUGCCUAGGUGCGAAUGAACACUUCGUCUGGAAGGUUGCUUAUGUUGAUUAUCGAAGUGUGGUUUCAACCGUGAGUGUAUGCUCAUUCGUGGGCCUAACCAAGAAUGCACGCUCCUCCGCAUGCUAAGACGAGAGUAUACACUAUCUCGGGGACCCGGUCGGGA